GCUAACAUAGCUUAACUUAAAGCAUAACACUGAACAUGUUAAGAUGGGCCCUAGAAAGCCCUGCCAGC
rnacentral:tRNA from 1 species